rnacentral:rRNA from 1 species
ACUAGCAGUAAGAGUUUGAUCAUGGCUCAGGACGAACGCUGGCGGCACGCCUAACACAUGCAAGUCGAACGGCCCCUUCGGGGGCAGUGGCGGACGGGUGAGUAACGCGUGGGAACCUGCCCCUUGGUUCGGGACAACCGGGGAAACCCGGGCUAAUACCGGAUGCGCUCCUGGCUUUGGCUGGGAGGAAAGAUUGAUCGCCGAGGGAUGGGCCCGCGUCGGAUUAGGUUGUUGGUGAGGUAACGGCUCACCAAGCCUACGAUCCGUAGCUGGUCUGAGAGGAUGAUCAGCCACACUGGGACUGAGACACGGCCCAGACUCCUACGGGAGGCAGCAGUGGGGAAUCUUGGACAAUGGACGCAAGUCUGAUCCAGCGAUGCCGCGUGAGCGAUGAAGGCCUUAGGGUUGUAAAGCUCUUUCGCCCGCGACGAUGAUGACGGUAGCGGGAGAAGAAGCCCCGGCUAACUCCGUGCCAGCCGCCGCGGUAAUAC